CAAGGACACCUUGGAAACAAAGGAAAAUGCUGUCAAAGUUGUCAGUGGAUUUGGCUUGCCAUCUCGCUUACUAAGUAACCAAUUUGAAUAUGAAAAUGACAACUGAAGAUAGCCCACGCUCGAAGGACCCAGGUCAUCUGACUGGACUGUGCCCACUCACUGGUGACUUCUUACUCGUAGUGGUUGGGUUUAGAAAGGGAGGGGGUGGCGGGAACAUUAGCUAGUACACAUCAGAAACUCACAAGAUGUUUUCUUUACAUCAGUGCAAUAGUUCUUAAUGUGUUAAGAUUUAUCUAGAAAAUGUGCAACUAUAAAAAUCAGUUAAUUCACAUUACUCUGUACAUUGGCAAUCUAAGAAGAAGCUUAGGAGGUUUUGUUUUAAAAGAAAGCAUGUUACAGAAUCCAACACUUAAGCAUGCUAGAAAGAAUCAGGAACAGUGGGGUUGCCUCAGUGGGAUAAAGUGCCUGCCUGCACGUGCCAGCUCCUUCGGAGAAGCUGGGAGCGUUCUCGCUGAGUAACCAGACAGUGCCCCUUCCCGACUCCCUCGGCACGAGCAGAACAAGGAGUCCCCUUGGGCACAGGUGCUGUCUGUAGGUCUCCAAAUAUGCCAACACUUGGGAUUUUAAAUAAUCCUCACAAGGCUGCAAGAUACACAAUUAAUAUGGAGACAAACAGCAACAAGCACUUGGAGUUUAAAAUACAAGCAGUGAAAAACCCUCUCCACAAGGCAUUAGGCCUAAACCCAACAAUAGGUCUAUAAAGAGGAAAAGCAUAAAAACCUUAAAUAAUUGAAAAGAAUUCACAGGUAUAGAAAGGUAUACUUAAGAUCAGUGCUUCAGUUUUAUAGGUACAAAAUUGCAGUUUGAUUCUGUAGAGCACUUAUUAAAAGCAACAAUCAAAAGAUUAGAAUAGUCCAUUUGGUGCUG